UUCCGGUUGAUCCUGCCGGAGGCCACUGCUAUUGGGAUCCGAUUAAGCCAUGCGAGUUAUGGGUUCUUCGUGAACCCGGCAAACUGCUCAGUAACACGUGGACAACCUACCCUUGGGACCAGUAUAACCCCGGGAAACUGGGGAUAAUACUGGAUAAGCCAUAGGUGCUGGAAUGCCCUAUGGUUGAAAGGCUCCGGCGCCCAUGGAUGGGGUCUGCGGCCGAUUAGGUUGUUGCUAGGGUAACGACCUAGCAAGCCUGUAAUCGGUACGGGCUCUGAGAGGAGGAGCCCGGAGACGGACUCUGAGACACGAGUCCGGGCCCUACGGGGCGCAGCAGGCGCGAAACCUUUACAAUGUGCGAAAGCAUGAUAAGGAGAUCCCAAGUGCCAGCGCACUGCGUUGGCUUUUCUCCAGCCUAAAAAGCUGGAAGUAAUAACGAGCGGGCAAGACCGGUGCGAGCCGCCGCGGUAACACCGGCGGUCCUAGUGAUGACCACUUUC
rnacentral:rRNA from 1 species